rnacentral:rRNA from 1 species
CGGGACGGGUGAGUAAUGUCUGGGAAACUGCCUGAUGGAGGGGGAUAACUACUGGAAACAGUAGCUAAUACCGCAUAACGUCGCAAGACCAAAGAGGGGGACCUUAGGGCCUCUUGCCAUCGGAUGUGCCCAGAUGGGAUUAGCUAGUAGGUGGGGUAACGGCUCACCUAGGCGACGAUCCCUAGCUGGUCUGAGAGGAUGACCAGCCACACUGGAACUGAGACACGGUCCAG